UGUAAAACAACUAACUAAUUUGUAUGUUAAUUUCAGUACGCAAUGUAUUCUACCCUCAAAAGCAAUAUGAUUUCAGUGAGGUGAGUUCUUUCAAAUCUCAAUCAGAUGUGUAGCAUGAAAUAUAAGGCUUUUAAUAAUUUAGUCAUCCUUACUGGAGGCUACAAUUAACAUGCAUCAUAGGUCAUACACAUUACUUUGUCUUCAGGUACUGCACUUACGGGAGGAGAUGGCUACAUCUUCACAAUAAUUUACACUGCCAUAGUACACUGCUAAACAGUACUGUAACAUGGAUUUGUAUUAGGCUAUGAAGUCAUUUAAAGCAUAACUUUACUUUUCAGGGGGACAUGCUCUCUAUCAGGAGGUGGUGGUUGGACAGCUGUUGGAGACCUUUAUACUUGAAAGCCCUGCAGAACUAGCUGGCUCCUUCUCACCCUCUCCAUCUCCCCAUCUCAGUCACACCUUCCAAUCACUAAGCAGUGAAAGCCCUGCAGGACUAGCUGGCACACCAAGCUCACCCUCUGCAUCUCCCCAUCUCAGCCACACGCUCCAAUCUGGCACAACAGAGGACAGGCCAUUCUUACCACCCGAAGUCCUUCAGCAAAUUGUACAAGAGACGCUGAGACUGGACAUGGCGAUGCUUGGCGUGUUCAACAGGGUUUCAAACACAUUCCGAGAACUAAUCAAGCCUCUCCAUCCUUCCAUAUAUAUAAAUGACAGUUUGGCAGGGGACAUUAAGCUUAAUAAAGACAAUCUCAUAUACAUAACGGUUAGAAAGAUUUACAACAAUGCAGGCUGUGGCAGUGGCCUUGCGCUACGCCUCAAA